CCCUCCCGACCAACGAGGUAAAAUAUAGGGGAAAAGAAGAAUAAAAGUAGACGCUUAAACGCCGUCGUUGUCGCCAACAAAAUUGGAAGAAGGAGGAAAAGGGUUUUUUAGCUUUCCGAGUUAUCUGAUAGAGCGGCCGAAUUGUGCAAAUAUGGAGAUUGAUUCAGAUGUCAAAGAUGGCUCUCUUAUUCUCAUAAAGCAAGGCGCUGAAGCUAGAGUGUUUGAGUCAAGUUUCGUUGGGAGGAAGUCAAUUGUAAAGGAACGCUUCUCAAAGAAGUAUAGGCACCCAUCUUUGGACUCUAAACUUACUCUCAAACGCUUAAAUGCUGAAGCAAGGUGCAUGACAAAGGCUAGACGACUUGGGGUAUCUACUCCUGUACUGUAUGCUGUUGAUCCUUUAUUGCAGACCCUCAAUUUUGAGUUUGUUGAGGGCCGUGCCGUCAAAGAUAUUCUUCUUGAAUUCGGGUUACUCGGUGUUGUCCAAGAAGAACGUUUGGAUGAUAUUGCAACUCAGAUUGGUGAUGCAGUUGCAAAACUACAUGAUGGGGGACUCAUUCAUGGUGAUUUAACCACUUCAAAUAUGCUCAUCCGCGAUGCUAGUAAUCAAUUGGUUCUUAUUGAUUUUGGUUUGAGCUUUACAUCGACCCUUCCUGAAGACAAGGCAGUCGAUUUGUAUGUACUUGAACGAGCCUUGCUUUCUAUGCACUCCUCAUGUGGGAAUGUAGAGGGGUGUUAUUUUUUGUUUUUUACUCGUCUGCGUCUGCCAAUUGAAACUGCAGCAGUGAUUUGAUAGCACUAUUCAGAUGGAUCGCAUACUUGCUGCAUAUAGGAAGUCCUCAAAGCAAUGGUCAUCCACAAUAAACAAGCUAGCCCAAGUUCGCCAAAGGGGUCGAAAGCGCACUAUGGUUGGAUAACAGGUUCUCCUGCACAACUGGGAAGAGGAAGAAACUUGUGCACUUGUGUUGAACUGUGUAACGUUCUCUGUUGAAUUGAUCAAUUUUAGAACGUGAUUUAUAGAUUUAUCUGCAUAUUGCAGCUGUA